CCUACGGGAGGCAGCAGUGAGGAAUAUUGGUCAAUGGGCGAGAGCCUGAACCAGCCAAGUCGCGUGAAGGAUGACGGCACUACGGGUUGUAAACUUCUUUUGUCAGGGAGCAAUUGGGUCCACGCGUGGGCUUAGCGAGAGUACCUGAAGAAAAAGCAUCGGCUAACUCCGUGCCAGCAGCCGCGGUAAUACGGAGGAUCCGAGCGUUAUCCGGAUUUAUUGGGUUUAAAGGGAGCGUAGAUGGGUUGUUAAGUCAGUGGUGAAAGUUUGCGGCUCAACCGUAAAAUUGCAAUUGAUACUGGCAGUCUCGAGUACAGUUGAGGUAGGCGGAAUUCGUGGUGUAGCGGUGAAAUGCUUAGAUAUCACGAAGAACCCCGAUUGCGAAGGCAGCUUACUAAACUGUGACUGACAUUGAUGCUCGAAAGUGUGGGUAUCAAACAGGAUUAGAUACCCUGGUAGUC
rnacentral:rRNA from 1 species